CCCACAGUUGUGUCAAGUUGGCUGGAUGUCCUUUGGAUGGUGGGCCAUUCUUGAUACGCACGGGAAACUGAUGAGUGUGAAAAACCCAGCAGUGUUGCAGUUCUAGACACACUCAACCCGGUGCACCUGGCACCUACUACUAUACCCCAUUCAAAGGCACUUAAAUCUUUACCCUCUGAAUGGCACACAUACACAAUCCAUGUCUCAAGGCUUACAAAUCUGUCUUUAACCUGUCUCCUCCCCUCCAUCUACACUGAUUGAAAUGGAUUUAACAGGUGACGUUAAUAAGGGAUCAUAGCUUUCACCUGGAUUCACCUUCUCAGUCUAUGUCAUGGACAGAGCAGGUGUUCCUAAUGUUUUUUUACACUCAGUCCAUUUUACAUACAUGGUAGGCUACUUUUAUACACAGUAGGCCUAUUACAGAGAACAUACAUAUAUAUUUUUGAUAUACACAUUACUUUCCUUGCUGCAAACUUCCUGCAAGUUUGUGACAAAAUGUUGCCAGAAGUUGUUUGCCACUAGUGGUGAAUUUGCAGCAAACCUUUGGCAACAACAAUAUUUACGACUAGUGGCAAACAGUUCACCAGUUUGUUUCUGGAAAACAAUUCUCUCGAGAUUAUAUUUGAAUCUGUGCAAACCUGUGGCAACAAUAUGUACUGCCACUAGUGGCUCCCAGUUUACCAGAGGUUGUUUCUGGUGGGCACAUCAUUUCAAAGACCAGUAACUUUUGACGACCAGUCAAGGAGAUCUGAAAAAAAAUCAGAUGGAAAUGGAAACCAAGAAAUCUACCUACCAAAGUUGUCCGAAGCAAUCAGUUAUCAGACAAAGAGACAGAUUGAGGCCUUCAAUCAAACGGAGGACUGAGAAAUAUGCAUGCACCAGACUGUUUACUUCUACAAAGUAUGAAGACACCAAAGGAUCUAUUGAAGAAGCCACGAACCUCAGAAACGUGGUCAAGAGGCAUAAUGUGGUGCACAACUCUCCUGUAGUGCUUUGAGUGCAAUUACCUAACACUUGGAAGAGUGUGAGAAGGAGUGAAGAUAACCCGAAAAGUUGCAUACUCAGACAGUGUUGUAAGACGCUUCUCGUGUCUACUGCUGGCGCAUUAUAAUGUUGUUUUAAUGUCGGAAUGGUGAUGAGAGUAGGGAAAAAAACAUCUUUUAUCUUUUUGGGGAAAUUAUAUUUCGUUCUGUUUGUAAAAUCUCAAAAUAGAAGUAUAUAUAAAUGUUUCCUAUUGUACAUAGGCCUACCUGUAUGUAUAUUCAGCUUGUAAAGGGACCAAUGCAAUUUAGAAUACGUUCUUGAAGUACGCUGCAUGGAUUUAUCCAGAUUUGACUUAUAAGCAAGUCUUUCAACUCUGUCCAAUGUACAUUUAAAAAAAACGUAUUUAUUAAAACACAUAUUUUUGAACAAUGUAGUUGAGGCUUUUGAUUUAUGUUUCCAUAGAAUACCAUAGCAUACCCAUUUCAGACAGAAUAUGUGGUAUAUUAUACAACCUGUAAAAAAAAUAUAUAAGGCAAUGUUUAUGACUCCCUUUCAAACAGCCCCUUAUUUACCACUUUCUUGUAUGGUAUAUCCCUUUUAUACAUAUCAGUGGGUAAUAGGCAAAUUGGUAGGGGAGGUGGGUGGGGGGUGUUGUUUAUCCAUGGAGGCUGUUUGCAUUUCAAAUCAGGGAGGUAUUAAACAAUGGAAGUGUUAAUGAAUUUACCUGCAAAAAAAGUGUAGAAUCGUUCACACAGACCUGAUACCUGGUAUUUUGGUUAGAGGUUCUGUGAAAAGGUUCUGUGCAGGAAUCAAUGAGGUGUUUUUGUAUCCAUACCCAUUUCAGAUAUACAAAAAACAGCUAUUUAAACGCAGGCAUGGGUAAAUAGUGGGAUUUCGGUCAGCAUGAAAAGGUUUUAAUAAUAUAGGCUACAUCCCCUCUAUUUCGAUGUAAAUAAUUCCAGUUUGGCACGCAGUAA
ensembl:lncRNA